GGCCGGUGAUGUGAUAAAAUAUUUGCUACUCUUGAUAGGUUUUAAAGAACUUAUCUGAUGAUUCAUAUCCACCAAGAUCUCUGAGGCC
rnacentral:snoRNA from 1 species